AUUGAACGCUGGCGGAAUGCUUUACACAUGCAAGUCGGGCGGCAGCGCGGGGGCAACCCUGGCGGCGAGCGGCGAACGGGUGAGUAAUACAUCGGAACGUGUCCUUGAGUGGGGGAUAGCUCGGCGAAAGCCGGAUUAAUACCGCAUAAGCUCUGAGGAGGAAAGCGGGGGACUGGUAACGGCCUCGCGCUGUUGGAGCGGCCGAUGUCGGAUUAGCUAGUUGGUGGGGUAAAGGCCCACCAAGGCGACGAUCCGUAGCUGGUCUGAGAGGAUGAUCAGCCACACUGGAACUGAAACACGGUCCAGACUCCUACGGGAGGCAGCAGUGGGGAAUCUUCCGCAAUGGACGAAAGUCUGACGCAGCAACGCCGCGUGAGUGAAGAAGGCCU
rnacentral:rRNA from 1 species